GCUGGGCAUGGUGGCGCAUGCCUGUAAUCCCAGCUACUCAGGAGGCUGAGGCAGGAGAAUUGCCUGAACCCAGGAGGCAGAGGUUGCGGUGAGCCGAGAUCACACCAUUGCACUCCAGCCUGGGUAACGAGAGCGAAACUCCAAAAAAAAAAGAAACAGCAUAGUAACACAUUAGGCUUUUAGAUACUCUGUUUUUAAAAGUACAUAAAAGGUUGCCUUUUUUUUUUUUUGGAGAUGGAGUCUUGCAUUGCUGCCCAGGUUGGAGUGCAGUGGUGCAAUCUUGGCUCACUGCAACCUCUGCCUCCCAGGUUCAAGCAAUUCUCUUACCUCAG
rnacentral:sRNA from 13 species